rnacentral:misc_RNA from 1 species
GAAGAUUCACUGCGGAGCUUAUAUUUGAUCGUUUUUACUCUACCACCAGUAGAUCUACACCGGAAAGCUUCUCUCCGACAGCUUUUCCGAUCUGCUAUAUUGAUCGGAAUCCGUACUACUUCACAUGGCAGGGGCGGCGUCCGCGCUGUUCCUCCUUGACAUCAAAGGCCGGGUCCUCGUCUGGCGUGAUUACCGUGGAGACGUCACUUCAGUUCAAGCGGAACGAUUCUUCACCAAGCUCAUUGAAAAAGAGGGCGAUCCUCUGGAUCCUGUAGCAUAUGAUAAUGGCGUGACCUAUAUGUUUAUACAGCAUAACAAUGUGUAUCUCAUGACUGCAUCAAGGCAGAACUGUAAUGCAGCUAGUCUCCUUCUGUUUCUACACCGUGUCGUAGAUGUAUUCAAGCAUUAUUUUGAAGAGCUAGAAGAAGAAUCCCUUCGCGAUAAUUUUGUUGUGGUGUAUGAGCUACUUGAUGAA